AUUGAACGCUGGCGGCAGGCCUAACACAUGCAAGUCGAGCGAGCGGCGGACGGGUGAGUAAUGUAUGGGGAUCUGCCUGAUGGAGGGGGAUAACUACUGGAAACGGUAGCUAAUACCGCAUACCAUCAGAUGCACCCAUAUGGGAUUAGCUAGUAGGUGAGGUAACGGCUCACCUAGGCGACGAUCCCUAGCUGGUCUGAGAGGAUGAUCAGCCACACUGGGACUGAGACACGGCCCAGACUCCUACGGGAGGCAGCAGGGGGGAAUAUUGCACAAUGGGCGCAAGCCUGAUGCAGCCAUGCCGCGUGUGUGAAGAAGGUCUUCGGAUUGUAAAGCACUUUAAGCUGGGAGGCGUUACCAACAGAAUAAGCACCGGCUAACUUCGUGCCAGCAGCCGCGGUAAUAC
rnacentral:rRNA from 1 species